GGAAAAGAAACCAACAGGGAUUGCUCUAGUAACGGCGAGUGAAGCAGCAAUAGCUCAAAUUUGAAAUCUGGCGUCUUCGACGUCCGAGUUGUAAUUUGUAGAGGAUGCUUCUGAGUAACCACCGACCUAAGUUCCUUGGAACAGGACGUCAUAGAGGGUGAGAAUCCCGUAUGCGGUCGGAAAGGUGCUCUAUACGUAGCUCCUUCGACGAGUCGAGUUGUUUGGGAAUGCAGCUCUAAAUGGGAGGUAAAUUUCUUCUAAAGCUAAAUAUUGGCCAGAGACCGAUAGCGCACAAGUAGAGUGAUCGAAAGAUGAAAAGCACUUUGGAAAGAGAGUUAAAAAGCACGUGAAAUUGUUAAAAGGGAAGGGAUUGCAACCAGACUUGCUCGCGGUGUUCCGCCGGUCUUCUGACCGGUCUACUCGCCGCGUUGCAGGCCAGCAUCGUCUGGUGCCGCUGGAUAAGACUUGAGGAAUGUAGCUCCCUCGGGAGUGUUAUAGCCUCUUGUGAUGCAGCGAGCGCCGGGCGAGGUCCGCGCUUCGGCUAGGAUGCUGGCGUAAUGGUCGUAAUCCGCCCGUCUUGAAACACGGACCAAGGAGUCUAACAUCUAUGCGAGUGUUCGGGUGUCAAACCCCUACGCGUAAUGAAAGUGAACGGAGGUGAGAACCGCAAGGUGCAUCAUCGACCGAUCCUGAUGUCUUCGGAUGGAUUUGAGUAAGAGCAUAGCUGUUGGGACCCGAAAGAUGGUGAACUAUGCCUGAAUAGGGUGAAGCCAGAGGAAACUCUGGUGGAGGCUCGCAGCGGUUCUGACGUGCAAAUCGAUCGUCAAAUUUGGGUAUAGGGGCGAAAGACUAAUC
rnacentral:rRNA from 1 species